GAUGAACGCUAGCGGCAGGCCUAACACAUGCAAGUCGAGGGGUAACGGGGUGCUUGCACCGCCGACGACCGGCGCACGGGUGCGUAACGCGUAUACAAUCUACCUUUUGCUGAGGAAUAGCCCAGAGAAAUUUGGAUUAAUGCCUCAUAGUAUGUCGACCUCGCAUGAGGAUGAUAUUAAAGGUUACGGCAAAAGAUGAGUAUGCGUUCUAUUAGCUAGAUGGUGUGGUAACGGCACACCAUGGCAACGAUAGAUAGGGGCCCUGAGAGGGGGAUCCCCCACACUGGUACUGAGACACGGACCAG
rnacentral:rRNA from 1 species